GUGAAUCAUCGAAUCUUUGAACGCACAUUGCGCCCGCCAGUAUCCUGGCGGGCAUGCCUGUUCGAGCGUCAUUUCAACCCUCAGGCCCGGCCUGGUGUUGGGGCGCUGCGCCUCGCAGCCCCCGAAAGACAGCGGCGGUCCCGUCCCGGCACCGAGCGUAGUAGCACAUCUCGCUAUGGGCGUUCGGGCGGCGGCCGGCCGGAAAAUCGUUUUUCCUUGGUUGACCUCGGAUCAGGUAGGAAUACCCGCUGAACUUAAGCAUAUCAAUAAGCGGAGGA
rnacentral:misc_RNA from 1 species